rfam:Asian citrus Psyllid, Diaphorina citri - Florida Strain, whole genome shotgun sequence.
GCCUAGUUAGCUUAGUUGGUAGUGCGUCUGCCUUGUAAGCGUUGGGCCGCGGGUUCGAUUCCCGCCCGGGGCG